GUUUCUGUUAUGUUUUAUUCAAAUAUAUAAGCUGUAGAUAAAUAACAAAAUGAUUUGUAUAACAAAUACAGGAAUGAGACAAGUGACAAUCAUAAUGAUAAACCAUAUAUAAUAAGUUACUACUAUAAAAUCUACAUAUUAAAUAUACACUUGAGACAUGAAUUAAUGAGUAUUGUUCAAUGGCAUUUUAGCUUCAUGGUUUUUCCACCAUAAACAACCUUGCAUUUUUGCUUUUUUUGGUUUGUUUUUUUAAAUAUGUGUCAUAAAUUAUAAUGAUCAAAAUUGUCUUCAAUACAUAAAUAAGCAGUUUUAAGCUUAAAAUACAUAAAUAUCAGAACCAGACAAUUAAAAAAAAAGUAAAACUAAUUGUUUUACCUAUUGUGGUACCAUGGUACAUUGAAACAACCUAAUUCAAUCAUAUUUUUUACUCCAAAAAAAAAAGGAUUUGACAUUAUUUGUACCUUGCAUGGUCAAGAAAAAUAUGUAAAAUGAAUUGUGAUGACAAAAUUUGACAAAUGAAACUUGAAUAAACUUAUUCUGAUUUUACAUGUUAUUACAGACAGAUCAAUAUUCUCUUACAACCAAAUUUAUUUAGUCAUCAUUAGUAAAUUAAAUCAUAUACACAAAUUCUUAUAAAUUUUAUAAAAUCCAAUGUUUAAUGACUGUUAAAUUAUGCUGUACAACCUAUUUACAAAGUGGACUUACAAAAAUUUAAUUGAGCUUUUUGGUAAGUAUAUUUAUUGUCCUAUUUUAUCACCCAAUAUUGAUAUUAUAAACAAUACCACAUCUUGCCAAAUAUCUUUGCUAUUUUGAUAUGUUUAUCUGUUGAGUGAAAUAUGAAUUAGUAAAAGCUUCUCAGGGUAAUAUUGCUGUGACUAGAUUUCAUAGUAUCUACAAUGUAUCAGGAGACUAGAUUAUCAGUAAAUCUUGUUAUAAGAAAACAAUAAAUAAUUAACAAGGGGUAGAUUCAAGAGAAGGGGAGGAGGGGACAGUUUGUGUCCCCUUAAUUCAGCUAACAUGAAAAGAAAACAAUUUCAGCUGCAUUGUUUCCAAGAAAUAUAUACUGUGUAUAUAUGUCUCUGAUUAUUCCCUUGCCUAUGUUGUGCCCACUAACCUAAUGUGCCAGCACACUAUAUAUGAAAAGUUGAUUAUUACCAGUACAAAUAUAUAACAAUAAUUAAUUCUAAAAAAAAUACAUUUCGAGAAUUGAAGAAUGUACCGUAAGUCUGACUGUUGGAGGGAGAACAAAUUCAGUGGACGACAUAGAUCCAGUGAUAUCAAAUUUAAAUGUCUACUUUAAUUAUUUUUAAGUUGGGCACCCUACUACACAUCAACAGGAUCAUAAUAUUGCACAUGUUGUCUUAUAUAAAAAAAAGUCUGUAUCACAUGCUUAUUCUAAAUCAUUUUGCUCAUAAUAAUUGCAUACAAAAUGUAUUGCAACAAUUUCCUUUUAUCCUUUAAAGAAAUAGUUUUUAGAGAAUGGUCGAUUGGAAUAAUCUUCUUAAAAAAUUCAUCAUUCUCUUUCAAAAUUUCAUUUUAUUUACCUUAGAACAAUUUCCCCCAAUAACAUCUGCAAAAAAUUAUUCAAAACGUCAUAGUUCUUAUAAUGAGUUUCAUCUGUAUUCUUUGGUAUUAAAAUACCAAAUAUCAUUGGUUUGACCCAGAAAGCAUUAGAACCUACAACCUCCCGUACUUCAGGUGGACAUGCUACGUACACAAGACUAUUGAGGGGGUGAAAAAAAAGAAAAUCUAAAUAUAAGUGUCUAUUUACCUUAAAUUUUUCAUAAACACACUAUACUAUGAAAACUUAACAACUUUUUGAACAAUGUAAAAAUACUAAAUUCACUCAAUAUGAUAAAGUUGAUGAUUCUUAUUAACUGCAUUUGUCUAAAAGAGCACUAACUUCACAUUUCAUCAUCAAUUAUUCUAAUUAAAACUUUUACAUAAUGAAAGUUGUUGACUAUGGCAGGACAAGAAAUCAGGGUAGUCUCCUAUUAAGUGAGACGAAAAUGAGUAUGCAGUUACUUAGACAAUGUAAAAAGCCUAAAAUAACUGUAAAAGCAUGGUCUAGGGGAGGUAAGCAUACACAGCUUGCAACUAAAUACUAUUUAGGUACCUUUUUUUUCAAAGCCAUCCAAAUAUUCACCAUAAAUGAUAUGGCUACAUUUUACACUUUGACAACAAAAAUAGUACACUCAUGAAUUUUGUCUACUUUUAACUUCUUUCUCUUAGGAAAUUUCAAUUAUAUAUAAUGAAGUAUGAUGCAUAUUUUAUAGUGCCAAUUCUUGUAAAGUCUGUAGUCAAGUUUAAUUGGAAAGAACUAACUAUAAAAAUAAUGCUUUAAUAUAUAAGUAAUAAUAAAAAAAAGGUUAAUAAAAAUGUACAACAUUUUUUAUCACAUCAGCAAUAAUACAAAAAUUCAAUAAUGAUCCGAUACUAUCAAGUAUCUUACAUGGCAGUUUAUACACAACUUCCCGAUUUGUACCGAAGAACUUUCUAAGGAAAAAAUAUAAACAUUUGAAUCUGCAUAUUAUUUCCUAAAAAGAGACACUGACAAAAUAUCUU
rnacentral:lncRNA from 1 species